UCCGUCGUAGUCUAGCUGGUUAGGAUAUUCGGCUCUCACCCGAAAGACCCGGGUUCGAACCUGGCGACGGAG
rnacentral:tRNA from 1 species